UCCAGCUCGUCACCACCAUCACCAUAUCUCUCAUCCGCUUCGAUGGUUCAGGUCGGCGGGGAACAUGCUUUGAUGGUUCAGGUCGCUGGAGAUGUCUCGUUCUCUGAGUAUGAGCCUCCCUCUUGGCAGAGCCAAAGUUUCUCCGGGCUGAUUUCAGGGUUUCAUAAGGGGUUGUUGGAUCAUGUAGCUUCUUAGUUAUGACCUCUAGCACAACAUGAGAUCGAAGGGUAUCACAGGACACAAUUGUUGCUUGAGUAGAAGCCCGUGAUUGUUAGUUACAUUAACUGGAAAACAAUGGAAACAGAGAAUCAAUUGACAAAGGCUAGAGAGCCCAAAGUACCCACACAUCAGUGCAACUCCAAGGAACAAGUCUGACCAUUUUAAAAUGUGCUUCCUGUUUAGCUCGUCACUUUCUUCUUUGUGCUUGCUUCUAGUGUUGUUGUAUUGGCAGUGCGUUAGUCUCAAAGCAACUUUCCAUUAGAGGAAGACCACAAAGACGUGAGCCUCGGUUCAGAUUUUCUAGACUGGUUGAAUUUUGCGGUGUUUUGGAAUGCUUGGAGCCUGAGUUCCCAAGAGCAUUGGCACGUGUUGAACUUGCUAUUUGAGAGGCUUAUUCUGGACAAAAUCAAAUCAACAGGAUCUUCAGACUUGAGUUCUUACUAUUCUGUUGUCCAGGUAUUGGUUCAAAUGUAUUAGCAUGAAGACUGUCCUGAAAAAGAGCCUCCUUGCCAUGGGUUCUAUGCAGACUUCACUAUGGCAACAAGAAUAACAAUACCAGAUUUCAUCACCAGUUUAUCCGUUCUAUUUUGCAAUGAGUUCAUGUGUUUCAUGUAUUGAUUUUGUGUGU